GAGGUGGGAGGAUGGCUUGAGCCCAGGAGGUUGAGGUUGCAGUGAGCCAUGUUCACACCACUGCACUCCAGCCUGAGUGACAGAGCAAGAACCUGUCUCA
ensembl:miRNA